GACUCUCUAAUGUAGCUGCACUAGAAUGGUUCUCCCUCCUCCUCUUUAAUGUAGCUGUACUAGACUGGUUCUCCCUCCUCUUCUCUAAUGUAUCUAUACUAGACUUAUCUCCCUCCUCCUCUCUAAUAUAGCUUUACUAGACUGGUUCUCCCUCCUCCUCUUUAAUGUAGCUAUAGUAGACUGGUUCUCUCUCCUCCUCCUCUCUAAUGUAGCUGUACUAGAACGGUUUUCCCUCCUCCUCCUCUCUAAUGUAUCUAAAAUAGACUGGUUCUCGCUCGUCCUCCUCUUUAAUGUAGCUAUACUAGACUGGUACUUUCUCCUCCUCUCUAAUGUAUCUAUACUAUACAGGUUCUCCCUUCUCCUCCUCUCUAAUGUAUCUAUACUAGACUGGUUGUCCCUCCUCCUCUAUUAUGUAGCUAAACUAGACUGGUUCUCCCUCCUCCUCCUCUCUAAUGUAUCUAUAAUAGACUGGUUCUCCCUCCUCCUCCUCUCUAAUGUAGCUAUACUAGACUGGUUCUCCCUCCUCCUCUCUAAUGUAGCUAUACUAGACUGGUUCUCCCUCCUCCUCCUCUCUAAUGUAGCUAUACUAGACUGGUUCUCCCUCCUCCUCCUCUCUAAUGUAGCUAUACUAGACUGGUUCUCCCUUCUCCUCCUUUCUAAUGUUGCUUUACUAGACUGGCUGUCCCUCCUCCUCCUCUCUGAUGUAGCUGUACUAGACUGGUUCUCACUCCUUCUCCUCUCUAAUGUAGCU
ensembl:lncRNA